rnacentral:rRNA from 1 species
GACGAACGCUGGCGGCGUGCUUAACACAUGCAAGUCGAACGGAAAGGCCUGCUUUCCCUUGUGGAUUGCGGGUACUCGAGUGGCGAACGGGUGAGUAACACGUGAGUGAUCUGCCCCCAACUUGGGUAUAAGCCUGGGAAACUGGGUCUAAUUCCCGAUAGGACUGCAGGGUGGUGCCUGGGGUGGAAAACGUUUUUCUAGUGGUUGGGGAUGAGCUCGCUGCCUAUCAGCUUGUUGGUGGGGUAAUGGCGUACCAAGGCGGCGACGGGUAGCCGGACUGAGAGGGUGGACGGCAACAUUGGCACUGUGAUACGGCCCAGAGUCCUGCGGGAGGCAGCAGUGGGGAGUAUGGCACAAGGGGCGGGAGCCUGAUGCAGCGACGCCGCGUGGGGGAUGACGGCCUUCGGGUUGUAAUCUCCUUUCGAGCGCGAGGAAGCCACCUGGUUGGAAGGGUGGUGACGGUAGUGGUAGAAGAAGCACCGGCUAACUACGUG